GCUUGUGGUGAAGCUGACAAGGGCUCCUUGCCCCGGAGCAAGUCUUGGCAUCUCCCCAUGCCUCAAUUCCCCUUGGUUUGGUGAAAUGCAGCCGCCUUCUGCUGUCCCACCCAUGCCAUGGCUUUGCCAUUUGCCCUGGGGUAUGGGACCCCCACCAAGAGGAGACCAGGUCUGGACCCACAGCAUCUCCAUGGGCUUCUGGCCUGCUUGGGCUCUCCAAGGGAUGCAGAUGGACGUGGGAGAAGCUCAAAGCAGCAGGGAGACAGUGGAGAGUCCCCAUGUUUGAAAGGCUUCCAGUGAGCUGUAGAAAGCGGGCAACUUUUCUGGAGCACACUGGGGAAAUCACCACAGGACAAGAAGUGUCCUCCUUGGCUCCCUGGGGCCUGAAUUUCAGCGUGCACCACACUUGCAGGUACCUUUGUGUGUGUCUUGUCCCCUGGGAUGCAGCAUGGUGACAUUGCCAACAUGAAAAUAUCUUCCUUUUGUUUUUCUCACACAAUGCUGUGUCCUGGAGGGGAGAGAUGAGAGGGACAUGGACCGAGCUCAGACCGUGCAGCCACCAGCAGGCAACUCACAGAGCUGCAGGAGCCUUUUGAUUUCCCUUAUUUUGGGAAAAAACAUCCCCCUCACCCCCCUAAAAAAAAAAAAAAAAAAAAAAAAAAAAAAGUGAAGAAAAAAAGGCAGUGAGGCGGUUAAUGAAGAGGCUCCUGCAGCCAAGGACGUUGAACCAUUCAUUAUUUUCCAGCACCUUUUCUUGCCUUUUACUUUAUUUGUCUUUGGCAGAAGGCGAUCGCUCUCCCCGCCCGCUCCUGCCGUUCGUGGGGCUGAUAGAUCUCUCCUUGGAGCCAAGAAUGGUCCCAUUAAAAAUGAAAGUAUGAAGCACAGCUUGAUUUUAAUUCCCUGCGUCAACAUUUCUGUAUAUGCAGGGGGAAAUAAAUUUAUAACGUUACACACACGCGUGCUGAAGACGGGGGUCCUGUUGAGUGCUGUCACUGAAGUGUUGCCUAAAGCUGAUGCCGUAUUGCUCUAAUUUCCAAGGAUUUUUUUUAAAGAAGCGCCUUUCAAGUCCCGGCACUAAGAAGUACAAAGCGAGCUCGGAGAUGGAGCACUUCUGUGUCAGCAGCGUCAAAGCAGGAUGCGGCUCCCCCGUGCCAACUUUCCUUUCUGUUUUAAAUCAUUUCUCGGAGAAAGAAAUGAAGAAAUCGGUGCAAGUUUAGGCAGCGUUUGGAGCUGAGGAGGAACCCUGGUCCUGUGGCUUCCCGGUGAUGUGGCACCUGGAUGCCAAGAAACUGCUCCUGCCGUCCCCUGGGGUUUGAAGAAUUUAGGUGAGCGAGGCUGGGGCUGUAUCUUGGAACCUGAAAAUGUACUCAAGGAGCUUUCUUUAGUCCCUGAUGCUCAGCUGAGAUGACCAAGGUGUUCCAAAAAAGUAAAAUCAGGAAUUUGGAGGUUGUGGAAUUGGAGGGGAAAACAGCACCGUGUGGCCUCAAACCCACUGCAUGAGAGCCGGGUGUCCUGCUCCUGGCACCAGGUGAGGUUUAGAAAUGAAGGAGGAGCUGAUUAAUGAAAGCUCCCCAAAUUUCUGCCUUGGGGUGCUUUCACAGCCAGCUUCACAACGUGACCACAGACGACAUGCUCCGAGAUGCUUGCAGAGGGCAGCGAUGACCGACCAGGGGCUGAAUUGUGCUGAUGGUGUCUAGGAGGAUGAGUGGGUUGGUGGCCAUCCCACAGCCACGAAGCACUGGGCGGUGAACAGGGAGAGCUGGUGGAACAUUGUCCAGCAACAGAGGGCUCCUUAUUGCUAUUUCUGCUGCUUCUUUCGUUCCCCAAGGCCCUGAGGCCAGUGGCACACAGUAGACUUCAUCAUGUCAUUAAAUUCCCCUACCUGCAGAACCAAGUGGCCACCCGCAAACUGCUGGGCUGAUGGGAUGACCCAUGCGUGAAUUUUCUAGGACCAUGGUGAGGCCAAAUUUGUGCCAGGAGGCACCAACAAUUCAGCAGUCAGGUAAAGCUGGCUCUCACCCUGAAAAAAUGAAGUUUCUUCUCAUUCUGCAGGAUAUUUGAAAAGGGGUGGGACGCAGCUUAGAGAGGACCAAGUCCUGGAGGAAGCAUCCUGAGAAAUAUUCUCGAGUUUCCUUUUAGUUCCUACCUCCCUCGGGUACCACCACGGUAGAAGAAGGCCAAGCUGCUGCCUGAGGGAUGAGGAGAAGGUGAACCCGCUUAUGGCCAUGUGGGAUGAAUUUGGUUUAGUGGCUUUUACCAAAGUCCUGGCCUUUUUGAGGUACGUGAAAAAAGACAAGAAAAAAUAAAUCACGCCUGCAGUUUUCAGCCA